AAAUUGAAGAGUUUGAUCAUGGCUCAGAUUGAACGCUGGCGGCAGGCCUAACACAUGCAAGUCGAGCGGCAGCGGGAAGUAGUUUACUACUUUGCCGGCGAGCGGCGGACGGGUGAGUAAUGUCUGGGAAACUGCCUGAUGGAGGGGGAUAACUACUGGAAACGGUAGCUAAUACCGCAUAACGUCUUCGGACCAAAGUGGGGGACCUUCGGGCCUCACGCCAUCGGAUGUGCCCAGAUGGGAUUAGCUAGUAGGUGGGGUAAUGGCUCACCUAGGCGACGAUCCCU
rnacentral:rRNA from 1 species